CUACGUGCCAGCAGCCGCGGUAAUACGUAGGUGGCAAGCGUUGUCCGGAAUUAUUGGGCGUAAAGCGCGCGCAGGCGGAUCUGCCAGUCUGUCUUAAAAGUUCGGGGCUUAACCCCGUGAUGGGAUGGAAACUGCCAAUCUAGAGUAUCGGAGAGGAAAGUGGAAUUCCUAGUGUAGCGGUGAAAUGCGUAGAUAUUAGGAAGAACACCGGUGGCGAAGGCGACAAACUGGACGAUAACUGACGCUGAGGCGCGAAAGCCAGGGGAGCGAACGGGAUUAGAUACCCCGGUAGUCCUGGCCGUAAACGAUGGGUACUAGGUGUAGGAGGUAUCGACCCCUUCUGUGCCGGAGUUAACGCAAUAAGUACCCCGCCUGGGGAGUACGACCGCAAGGUUGAAACUCAAAGGAAUUGACGGGGGCCCGCACAAGCGGUGGAGUAUGUGGUUUAAUUCGACGCAACGCGAAGAACCUUACCAGGUCUUGACAU
rnacentral:rRNA from 1 species